AUGGAACAGCAUCAAGGAGCCAAUCUUCCAAUUAGAGUUUGGGAACUUUGUUCCUUCUUUUAUCUACCUUAUCUAUUAUGGUCCUUGAAACUUGGAUGUGAUAGCUAGGCAUGUAGCUGCCCACACUGAACUAUGGAGAAGGAACUUAUAGUCUAUGAAUAGUGAAUGGAAAUUUAAGCAGAGGGGAAAAAAAUCAGUUAUGCUUAACGCCGAAAAGGUAAAACUGGCUGAAACCGCUACAGUUUAGAAAGAGAAGGAAGAUAACUGGAUUCCGAUUCUGAAGGUCUUUAGAGCUUGAUAUCGACUCCAAACGAUCUUUUCAUUCCAAACUCAUGAGACUUUGAUACAGUGGCUUACUAUUUUGGAUCUAUGGAAAAUUCCACCCCUCUUUUUGGCCAACUGAAUCUUUAAAAUGAUUCAAGGGUUAAUAUGGUCGCCUCUUCCUUGAGCAACACUAAAACUAUGUGGUCUACAAGAGCAUCCCCAAAGUAAAGCUUCUACAGGUCCAUGUUCUACAAGUUAAUGUUUUCUUGUGCAGAUAUACUUACAUCACGGGCUUUAUGGAAUGUUUGACAUCCUAAUGUCAUCCCUGGGUAUGAAGUUUUCUAUACAGUCAUCUGUUACUCCCAUCUUAAAAGACACUAAACUCUUUUUUCUGUUUACAUGUCUAUAUUGAUUGUGAUUAGUGUUGUUCUUGGGGAGGGAGACUAAGCACAUACACAUGUGUUUUCUUCCCAGUGUUUCUGUUGCUCAUUAAGUUCUGAGUUCACACGUCUCUCAUCACACAUCAGUUGUAUAAUAUUCUGAGUAAUCAGUUAACAGGAGGCAACAAUCUCAUCUGGAUUCUAUUGUUGACUCAGAUGGAGGUUGAAACUGUUGUCCUACUGUUAUCUGUUUAUAAAAAAGUGUGAUACAGUUACAUGUCAGAUAUUAUACUAGGAGGAAAAAAAUUAAAUUUUACAACUAAAACAUGAGGCAAAAGUUUUUGUUGCAAUCCAGAAAAUUUAAUUCUAGUAAAACAGAAAAUAAAUACAUUAAGAGGAUACUUGAGAGUCCGUAGGUCCAUCUUCUACCCAGAUAUAUCAACCAAGAAAUUUUAGAGGCUUAAAAGAAUGUUUCUCAUGCAAGAUCAUUUGGUGUUAGAGGGAAAAGAUGUGAGGUCGUGCUUCACGAACACCUUGAGGAAGUCAGCUGGCACGGGCAAGGUGUUCUCACAUGAUUAUCAGGACCUCCUCUAGCCUCAACAUUCUGUAAGCACACAGGGCUAACGGGUAGAUGAAGACGCUGGCUUACCUUAGUAAUUCCUCAGACAGAGACAUAUAUUCAGUGGCAAACAGAGAGGACAGGCACUGGCUUUUAAAGAUGUUAUGCCUCACUGAUCUGAGAAACCCUUUUUGUUGGAAUGAGGAGGCCCCGCCUUGUGGAAGAAACUCUUUUGUCUAUUGUUCUACAUGGCAGCCAGGGCCACCACGUAGAAGGUUUCUGGACCUUACCAUUUUAGCCACUUCUAACUUGAAGAGGGGAACCAAAGGCCUUCCCUGGAGAAUGUGUGGUCUUCAAAGCCCACCUCUUACUGAUAAUCUUGGGCUAAAGCUUAUUGCUGUGGUGACCACGCUUAUAGAUUCCCUGGCUGUACAAUUCUGCCACAAGCCUGAUAGACUUCUAAUCGAUUUGCUUGCAGUCUGCUUCUUCCUGGUUAAAACUCUCCAGUAUGAGUCAUGUUUUCUUUCCGUCCUCACCCCUGCUCCAUUUCCUCAUUGCCUUGGGGGCCAUCUAGCUUAGACUGAGAGGAGCUUCACUCCUGAUAUGAUCUUAUAUGCAAAGCUGAGUCUCAUUCAAUCAUAUUCCUUACUAUCUGGGUUUUAGAAGCAGUCAAAUCUCCCAGCUUUUCAACACCUCUCGUUUCUGGUGUUCAGUUUUAUUUUUGCUUGAAAAGAAGCCAGCUCUUGCCUCAGUUCAUCUGCCCUUUUGUGAAUUGCCACCAGCGUUCUGGUUUCUAACCCUUUCCCCUAGAGCUAAGGAACCAGCAUGCACCUGGUCUAUCUUCUUAAGUGUAUCAAGGGGCAACAUCAUCAAAGGAUUAUGCCACUGCCUAACUUAUCUUCAUCUUCCCAGCCUCCAAAGUCCAUUCCACCGCUGUUCCUGCCCUUGUCGCUGAACCAUGCUAUAUACAUUUUGAGUUUGUGAUAUGGCAAUAUUCCAGCUAGAGUUGGGGCAACUUUAGCUGCUACGAAGAUAAACUCUGAAAUCUCAACAGCAUAAUACCACAGGCUUAUUUCUUAGUCCCUGAAAUCUGAUUAGUGAAGAGGCUCAGCUCCCUGCAGCCAUCGAGGAACUAGGCUGAUGAAAGCCAUGCCAUCCUCACCAUGUGACUUCUAGCUUAUACUGCAGUACCAGUCAGCUCAUAGAUGGAGGGGAAGAGAUUAUACGCUGGCUGCUGAGAGGUUUCCAAGGCUUAAACUUGGAAGUAGAAUAUGUUCCUUUGACCUAUGACCUACUAAAUAGCUUUCAGUAGAAGACAGAAGAAUCAGUGUCCAAGAAUAAAAGUAUAGCUGGGUCCAAGAGGAAAAGAAAAAUGAUUGAGAAAUGUUGAGUCUCAUUUCUUAAAUUUUCUGAAUCUUCAUCGUUGAUAAAAUACAUUCUAAAUUUUCCUGUGAUAAUUACAAAUGGUUUUUAUCUAAAGGGAUUCAUGAUCUUGGUCCAUCUAUUUACAAUGUUCGUCCUUAGGUGUUCCUUUUCUCUUAGGCUCACAGGCUGGAAUAAGCCUCAUGGAAACCUGUGGUUAUCUCAUUGCUUGGUAGAAAUUUCCUUCUGAGACUGAAUAGUGACAUCUAUUUGACAGAGAGAUUUGCCUUUGUAAUAAGACACUUUAGGUGACACUGAAAUUACAUGACAGUUUUAAAAGACAGCCAGCUAUUACAAGGCAAAAUGUUGAAUCCUUUCCUCUCUGGAGGACAGGUCCUUUUAUUGGUUUCAUACUAAUAAGAAAAAGUGUGAUAUGCAGAAAGCUGCCUACAAUUUUGUUCUUAUGUAGAUGAGGUUAAAGAGUAUGUGUCCAAGGCAAUCUUUAGAAGGAGGGUGGGAUGGGAAAGGGGAGGAGAGGGAAGAGAAGAGGGCAGAGCUAUGGAGGAGGAAAAGAGGGAGGAGGAAGGGGAGAGAGAAGGGGAUUUCUCUUUCUGGUCCAACUUAGAUUUAGGUUAAUUCUUUGAAUUCUAAAUGAGCCUACAAUUUACAAAGUAGGGAUGUUAGGCCUUCUCUCUCUCUCUCUCUCUCUCUCUCUCUCUCUCUCUCUCACACACACACACACACACACACACACACACACACAGUGCCCUACAUCUUCCAUCACUGGGAGCACUGCCACCUGGCAGGGGUAACGUUCACUGCCUGAAGAGGCUGGCUGGAAACCAUCGCCUAGUUCUUAAAGAAACAAGGCUGUAUUUUUAACAGAGCUUAUCUCCCCUGCCCGAGAAGAGGGGCACCCUGUCUGCAUUAUAUCAUGGCCACAGAUGCUGGGAUCCCCAGAAUGUACAUCUGGGUGAUUCCACACCUCCAUUAAAAAGAGGACCUCAGACACGUGUAUAAGAAAAAGACAAAGGGAAUAAUUCUGCUCAAUGUAGAAAUGGUCAGUCGAUAUACACCUCCUAAACAGUGCUAAGUAAGACAGAAGCUGUUACUUACAAUGCUCCUGUCCAGACUGGGCUCCAGAGUCUUUCUGGCCUUAGCAAUGUCUUUUGUUUAGGCACUGAAAAACUGUAAGUUGAUAACCUUUUCUUAUGGAUGACAUAAAGAAUAACACAAAAUGGAAGGGGAAAAGGAAGGGAAAAAUAAAGGAAGGAAGGAAGGAAGGAAGGAAGGAAGGAAGGAAGGAAGGAAGGGAUUUUCUAGCACGUUUUUGGCAUCUAAUGUUUUGUUCCAAGACUAAUGUGCCAUGCCAUCUGCCAAGUUACCAUGUCUUUAUUAGGUUGCUAUGGUAUGUAAAGAGAAAAAUGCUUUGUAAAGGGUCCGAGUGGUGUUUUUUUAGUUCCCUCUUCAACUUAAUAAGCUUUUUUUUAAAAGGUGAUAAAAUUUUGUUAAAAAUAUUGCAACAAUGCUACCCACUAAUAUUAGCACUGUAUUUUACUUUAUGGUUUUAAUUUUUUUGGACCUAAAAAUAAUUCUGAGGUUUAGAAUAUUUUAGAUUUGUAAGCUAGCAAAUUAAAAAAAAACCCUCUAUUAUAUCCUCAGAACUAGAGGGGGAGAAAGGGGCCCUUCUCACUCUCUUUGGAUUGUGCGUGAACUGGGAAUUCAGGACAGGAGCUCGGUGAAGGGAGAUGUGGCACUUGUGAGCUUUUUUGACAGAAACUAAUGAUUGUCUCCUUGUGGUUUACUCAUCUGACUAUUUGACCUCUGCCUCUCUAACUGGGGCCUGAGGUAGCAAGUGGAUCCAGCUUCAUCCUGGUUGUAAAUGUCCUUAAGGAGAGGGUAUGUAUGGUUUUAUGCUUCUCUUCCUCUGCCUCUAAGCUUUCAAGUUUUAUUUCUUCUCUGUAUCUUACAAAUGAAAAUUUAAGGCUAUGUCCAAUGGCACAUGCAUAUGUACAUACACAUACUUGAGAGAAACAGCAAUGAUCUGCAGUGUGUGUGUGUGUGUGUGUGUGUGUGUGUGUGUGUGAGAGAGAGAGAGAGAGAGAGAGAGAGAGACCUUCUAUGUGAGAAGCCAAAGCCAUCAACUGUCAUCUCUGUUAUUCACUGUCAUACUUGCUUGAUAUAGGGUCUUUCAUUGAACCUGGAACUAGGCUGGUAGACAGUAAGUACCAAUGAGCCUUCCUUCUCUGCCCCUGACCGCACUGGGUUCCAGGUGCAGACAGCCACACCUGUCUUUGUAUGUAGGGACUAGUGUCUGAGCCCCAGGCUGCCAUGCCUGUGCAGCUGCAGCCACUGUCCUUGCUCACUGAGCCAUCCCGCCAGCCUCAAUAGACAGUUUUGACAGCACUUUGGAAUUCAUUGUAGCCAGAGGGUGGGAGAAAAGUUCUCUGGUCCACCUGUUCACUCUUAUCAAUGGGUAAAGACUACGAAAGAUUUUUCUGGAAAAGAAUUUCUAUGAUCCAUGACCUAAUACUCUCAUUACAAACCUUAAAAUGUCAUCUUCCCUAGAUAAUUAAAAUGAUAUGAUACUGAACACUUCUGGAAUGCUCAAAUUAUUUCUUGUCAAUGCAAACCAGUAUUUCUGGGUUCUGUUCAGAUCUGCCGUGGGGAAGUCCCAUUCCUAAGAACAACCAAGGGGAUAUAGAAUACAGAACUACCAAGGGCAUCUUGACCCCAUAGGAAGAACAACAAUAUCAACUAACCAGACCCCCACCCCAGAGCUCCCAGGGACUAAACCACCAACCAAAAAGUAUACAUGGCUGGGUAUACUGAAGUCUGUGGCUGCAGCUCCAUAUAUAGCAGAGGAUUGCCUUAUCUGGCAUCAAGGAAAGGGAGGGUCUUAGUCCUGUGGAGGCUUGAUGCCCCAGCGUAGGGUGAUGCUAGAGGGAUGAGGCGGGAGUGGGUGGGAGGGUGAGUGGAGGAGCACCCUCUUAAGAGGCAAAGGGGAGGAGGGGGGAUGUGGUGGGGGGUUUGCAGAGGGGAGACCGGGAAGGAGGACAACAUUUGACAUGUAAAUAAAUAAAGUAACAAAAAAAAUACAGAAUUAUCAAAGUGAGCCAGAAGAUAUUUAUUAAGUGUCUACUUAUAGAGUGAAAACUGUCCUAGGAAAUGAGAAGGUGGCUUGAGAAAGAUAGAUAACCAUCCCAAGAAUCUUGUAGCUACCAAGUCAGUUAGGACACCGGUCUUGGUAAAGGCAGAAGAGUAGGAUGCCAGAGAAUCGAGGCUAGAUGCGGAGGCACAUGUCUUUAAUACCAGGACUCAGGGAGGCAAAGGCAGGCACGUCUCUGUGCAUUCGAGAACAGCCAGCCUGGCCCCACCUUCUCAAAAAAAAAAAAAGCCAGAGAAUGGAAACAAGGCCUCACGAGGAUACAAUGUCACAAAUCCAGGGUCUGUGCAGCAAGACAAGACCCUGUUGCAAAAUGGUGCUGGUGGAAGAGAGAUGGGUAGAAAUCAAAGCUAAUUAAUUUAUUAUAUCCUACAACUGAAUGUCCUCCAAGUUGAUAACAACAGAAUUUUGACUAGAAAUUACCCUUUUGAAUUAAUUUGAUCCAGUGACUCUUCUGAUAAAACCUUGGAAUUCCUGUUCAAAUGUCUUAGCACCCAGUUGACCACUUGCUUUUGGAAGAUUGGUCCUCUCAGUGGAAUCCACCCGCACAACAUUCUCUCCUUGCUUAGAGGAGCUUAGGAAAGCAUUCCUGGUUACCAGGGCAAAACAUUGGAGAGAAAGGAAGUGAGGCUUCGGUUGAAGGUUGGCCUCUUUGCAGAUGGCUUCCUAGAGAGGCUUCUGCCAAGCCUGUGCCUCCUCCUAACUCCAGUCACAGAGAGAGCAUCAGUGAUUUGCUCUCCCAGGAUCUGGUUUCAAUGGGCAACAUCUCAUUAACCAGACCAGCAGAUGUCAGUCCUGACCCACUUUUCCUCAGGUUUGAAUCAGUACCGCUCCAGCUGGUUUGCUGUCUCUGUCUUAUUUCUUCUUCCUGAGGUGGAGGGCCCCUGGCUUGCUUUGCUUUGCUAAUAUUUGCCUUAUUCGGUAGUCAUUAUGUGAUAAGCAGGCUGUUUGCUUUAGGUUUGCCUUGGUGUGUCUCCUAGUGACUUUUAUUCGUAGCUGGUAGCUUAACCCAAGUUACAGUUGUGAGCUGCUUGUUACUGAGUGUGCAUAGGACACUUUGAACAGACCUGCUGCCUCAAAAAUCCAAACCCAGGUCAAAAUAAAUGACUAAAAUGAAUAAAUAAUCAAUCAAUCUGAAGAACACACAUAGCUUGUAACCUCAGUUUCAUUUUAAAAAUAUCAGUGUGAACAGACUAAGGUUUACAAGCCCACCAGCAAAAAUGCAUAUAUUUUUUCUGUACAUUUUUUUUCUGUACAUUUGUUGAGCAUGUAUCUUAUCCUGAACAAAAACAUCUUGCAUGUUAUGUGGACGAAUUAAGUCGUUAGUCAGCAGUACAAAUGGAACUACUUUAAGGAAACAACAUACAUAACACAAUUUUACAGUAUAUUCUAUCUCCAAGAUGCUGCUUACUGUCACGGCACACUUUCGAUUGCAACUUUGAACUUGGAGAUGAGUUUGUGAAGGAAGAUGUGUGUGUGUGUGUGUGUGAGUGUGUGUGUCUGUGUGUCUGUGUGUCUGUGUGUGUGUCUGUGUGUGUGUGCUGCUCUCUGGACAAGGCAUUGUUUGUAAGGACUGAUUAGCUGCUGUGUGUGCCGAAGUCAACUGUCUUAGAUUCCAUACACAAGACAAGAGAACUGAAACACUGCAAAGAGGCCAGACACAAAAGAACACCAGGCAAUAUUAUGUCACUUACGUUACAGGGUAAAUGUUUAUUUACCGAGUUGAUUAGCUUAACCAACAAGAAUUUCUUGAUUUAUUAAGAAUAGCAAUACAACCUGUAAUAUAGAGGUAAUUUUAAAAAUCCCACUAAAGAUUGUAACACUCGGUGCCUUUUCAGGGCAAUCCCUCUGGUAAGCAAACAUAUAAUGUUGCUUUUACUUCACUUGAAUGUAACUUGUGAGUUACAUAAAAAUCUAAUCUAAGUGAACUGAUUUUAAUACACUUUUGAAGGCACAGUGAGGAAAUAAAUCAUUGUUUAUAAUUCUUUUAAUAUUAAAUAUCAAAGUUAUUUGAAAAUUUGUAUUUCAAGUUGUUAUUUUAAUUACUUCAAAAUUCUUUGCCUUUUUUAUUAGUAAAGAGACCAAAUGUGUUGACAGCUGACAAAAACAGUUCAUUCUCUCUCUCUUUCUCUCUCUCUCCAUAAACACACACACACACACACAAAUAUAUAUAUAUAUAUAUAUAUAUAUAUAUAUGGAAUAUCUUCUUAAAUUACAUUUAGGAUUUCUCUGUUAGUGUCGAUUGCAAAAUUAAAAGCAAAGCAAAUGUGCUUUGUAAAGAUUUAUUAUCCUGGCCUGUAAAAUCAUUUCCUGGUUCACUCUCCAGCAUUCUAGAUGGCUGCUUUUCAGUGAAAUCAUAUAAUGUGAGCCUUAAUAACCAGGUGCCCAUGCUAAAGUUCUAUCAUCCACACUCCAAAAAGUGAAAUUAAUUCCAAUAAUAUAUUUCCCAAAACCAUUUUGUCAUGCAGUCAAUAUUUUUAAAAUUGCACAUGCCUUUCUCUCUGUGAGAAUUCAUGCCUACAAAUCCCCCAUCACUUUGCGCUUACCGCCCUUCUCUAUCCAUACUUCCGGGGUAUGGGUUAGAGGCCACCACCUCAGAUACUGAAGGUAAAGGUGACUAAACCCUUCUCUGAAGACCUGGGGAGCGUCCCUGGUGAGCCGGUGGCCAUGGAGAAGAUUCAUGACUGUUCUGUUAGUGGAGGAAACUCCUCCGCUGCACCGGAACCCUUUGUUCAUGCUCUAUUUUGUCUCUAACACGGGCCUUGCACUGUGAAACCCCACAGGUCUUUCGCAAGCUGUCCGACCCUCUGCCUGUCAUGGCUACACAGCUGAAUUUGCUGAGGGAGUUACUGGAGAGCACGACCUAGAGCGGUUUGAAGCUACCUAACCCGGAGCCCACACGAGUCUUAUAGAUCUAUUUGAGACAAGAAAAGAAUGCGUGUCUGUGGACUUUUGGGUUGUCUAGUGUGUAAUCCUGAACUGUAACCCUGGGAUUCCAGAAAGAAUGUCAAUUCUAUGCUUAGGUUUUCUGGGAGCAACUAAUUUUUGACAGAGCUCAUCUGAUUUUUGUAUUGAAUAGGCCUCCAGCUUUUUAGACAAAUGUCUGGCCUGGACUUUAGAAACCAGGGCCUCCCUAGAGAAGGUUUUCUGUUAUUGCUCGUGCGAGUUUGUCCAGGCCAGAGCGACUGCUCAGGGAGACUUUGCAGAGCAGCGUAGGGAUUGCCUGGAAGUGGUACCAAGUUUCUGCACCAUUAGUCAAGAGAUCAUUUAAACUAGAAAGUGGAGAAUAAUUUGCAAAAUUCAGAUAAGUGGACACUUUUUCUUUUAUUAGCUCUCUCUAUUUUUACCACACUCAGUAUCCCUUAUCAAAAAUAAGUAGUAGCCAUUGGUCCUCGAUGUUUUUGGUCACGCAACUCCUAAUGGAAUGAGAAAUUUUUGUAUUAGGUGAGCGCCUUGUGCCCAACAUGUAUUAAAUUAGUGGAAGUCAUUACUAGAAAGUCUUGGCUGCUCCUGAGCCAUCCAGGGCACAGAAGAGAAGGAGAUGAAGGGAUGGCACUGACACUUCCUUCUCGGCCCCUCUCCUGUUCUGUCUUGUUUGUUCUAAUAGUCAGGGCCUGCCUUUUCUUGCAGCCCUCUGCAUGAAAUCAUUUUUCUAUCUUAUUAGCAUACCUUAAUUAAUAGAAGUAUGUUUGUGCAUCUCCUAGGUCAGAUCAACUCCCCGGGUAAAGGUUUUGGAGGCUGUCACUAACUGUCUGGUUACUUCUCUAUUAACUUGAAGAAGAAUCUUAUUUUAAAAAAAGUAUCAAUAAUUAUGACUUGGUAUGAUCUUGAAUACAAAUUUGUUUUUUUUUUUUUUUUAAUUGGUCCUGGACUCCUCUUGUUCGUUUCUCGGGAAAAGGCUUGUGAAGAAUUUCUCAAAUUUAGGGAUUCUUUUUUGAAGUCUAAUUUUACUUAUUUGCCUAUUUUUGAACUCCUAAAGAAAUGCAACAUAUUGGCUAUCCUCACAUUUUUGGAAGCAAGAGCUCUGAACUGUUUUCUCCAAAGUUGGCCCUCAUUAAUCCUUCUUACUCUCAGCCACUGCUUAAUAUUUCCACAAAGCAGUUCAAGGUGAGUUGUCUGCCAGUGGGAGACAGUUAGUGUGGCACAUCUGCUUGUGCCACCAUUGUUGCUUGAUUUAGCCAAAGAUUUAUUUAGAAAAAACAAAUAUAAUAUAGCAGGAACAGUCACAGUUGCCAACCGUGACGGCAGUGCUGUUAAGGUGACAUUUUGGUAACAGAGACUUUGAUACUAUUAGUUUAUGUUAUGUUGCUAUUAUUAUUAUUAUUAUUAUUAUUUAUAUUAUUAUUAUUUUAUUUUAUUUUUUUAUAUUAUUAGUUUAUUUUAUAUUCCUGCUUUGAUCUCAAAUCAGUGGGCCUUUUUAUUUAAAAAGAAAGAGAACGAGACUUCGAUAUAAAGUAGGAGAGGGGUGACUGCAAAUAGUUUGCUGUACAGAAUUCAGGUCUCCCUAUCUUUGUAUGCACGAGUGGCAAGGCUUCAUCAGGACAUCAUACCCCACCUAACUGGAAUUAAAAUUACAUCCGCUUCUUGUUACGUACAGCAGCCAGAACAAGUGUCUUCCAAAAUCUUCUCGUCCCCUGCCUCCAUGGGUCAUUGCUCUUCUUUCUCUGUCCGCCAACAGCUCACCAUACCAGAGGCCCCUCAGAUUCCGCAGCGGAGAAUGACACCGGGUCACAGUCAGACUCCUGUGACAAUGACAUUUUCUGGGAGAGUUCUGCACAGCUGUGUCACUAUUAACUUUUAAUGAACAUCCUUUCUUCCUUUGAAUUUUGGCGAGUUAAAUGGACAUGCCAUUUUUACUUUCAUCCCUACUUUAUGUGACACACUAUAUAGUAAUUAUGGGUGCUAAGGUAGUUUGGGAUGCCUAACUUGGGUGUUCCAAAACUAAUAGCAUAAUUUUGCCCAUAGUUACACACAAAUGUAAUAUAAGAUUUUUUUUUAAAGUCUGGGGCUGAAAAUACAUUUUAACUUAUAAUACACCAAAAGGCAAAGAGAUGUAUCUAGGCCUGAAUUUGGGCCCCACUGUUCAUUUCAGGGACCGCGGCUCUAUGGAGAACUCAAUGGAAGGCGUGCCCAAUGGUUCCUGGGACAAUGAGUGGAACAGAGGCUCCGUGGCGGUCAUUUUGGAGCAUUAUUCAUUCCUGGUCUCCACAAUAGCUGGAAUCUGAUAAUUUAGCAUUAAGCCUCUUUUCAACUAUAUGGAACUGUAAUAAGGUGAUUUAGCCAAUGUGCCUGUCCAUUGUCCCAGAGAUUCUGUGAUCUAUUAUGCUGCAAUGUGUAAAAAGAAAGGAAAAAAAAAAAAGAAAAGAAGAAAAAGAAAAUGAAAGAAAGAAAAAUCUAGGGGUAAACAUAAACCAAUUAAUUACCAGAAACAUUAGAAGAUGCUUUGAGAGAGCUGUUAUUUAUUGGCAUUUUUUUAUGAAUCAAUAUAGAUAUAAGAAUUGACUGCCAAAGCCUCUGGGUACACUCACAUAAUGAAAGUCCAAUUAAUAUCCCCAAGCACAGUGCACGGCCGGCAUCAGGGAGCUGCAAGGACAGUCACUGGCUUCUGCAGCCAACAUUGACAGCUGCAGGGCCCUGAUAGAAAACAGCCUCAAAGGCCCAAUCCCCUCCCCCAGCCCAGCCUCAACUGCACGGGAGCUUCAUAUCUUGCCUGUACUGAAGCAAGGGCUGCAGGAACAGAUGGGACACCAGAAGCAACCCGUGGCUAUUUGUGAUGUCACCAAAUGAAGCAUUCUGGGGUGCUGUUGGGUGGCAAAAAAAAUCAAAAGGAAGGAUGAGGGAGCAUCGUUAGGAAAACUAGGUGACAAGGUAAGACAAGGUGACAAGGUGACAAGGUAACAAGGUAAGACAGUAGGUUAGCAAACCUUCCGUCAGGCGCUAAAAAGAGGCCAUGCAACCUUCCAUCCAGAUGUGCUUACAUUUCCACUUAUUUUGUGUGGAUUAAGAAGGAGAUUGACUUGAUCAUUCCAUAAAAAUGAUUUACCUAAAUAAGAGAUAGAAGAGAUUUACCUAAAAUAGCCAAUUCUUAUAGUGACUGAAUAGGACAGACGGUGGAAACAAAACAUAAUUUUCUUCGUCUUCAAAUAGGCCAUUGAUGAUAUAAUUAUACUCUUAGUGAGCAAAACCUCCAAGGAGACAUGUGGUAUUAAAUUCCCUGUAAAUUCUAGGAAAGUCAUUUUCAAGAAAUGAUGUUAUUAUGCGGAAGUGGGAGAUACUCAAGGCAGCUUGGAGCCUUGCUUAGGGUCAGUGAUAGAAGUCAGAGGUGAGGUUCCAUUCUUAUCCUUCCAAGAUUUCUGAAGGCUAGAGAAUCCAUUUGAGGAAAUCAUGGAAAUAAUAUGUGUCUAUUUGGUUUUGAGUUAAUAAUUAUUGCCUUCUACACAUCUUUCCUCAAUUACAGGGUCCCACAUCUUUUAUGGGGGCACUUCUCAUAUGCUGCAUUUGUUCUAACCUAUGUUUCCUCUCUCUAGAGUGGAGAGCUCUUUCAUUGUUGUAUCUUUACUACCUAGCAUAAUACCUGGAAAGCAGUAGCCAUCAGUAAUGUCUAUUUAAGUAGGAUAGAUAGAUAGAUAGAUAGAUAGAUAGAUAGAUAGAUAGAUAGAUAGAUAGACAGCUGGAUGCAUGGAUGGAUGCACAGAUGGAUGCAUGCAUGGAUGGAUGGAUGCAUGGAUGGAUGGAUGCAUGGAUGGAUGGAUGCAUGGAUGGAUAGCAAAAGCCUUAUUUUAGCUACCUGUAUAAUUUAGCAAUCAUCAGCUUAACUUAAAAUUUUUCCUUGGCUUUUGAGAAGCAGAAUAUAUUGAGUUUAACUAUUUCUGCAUUUAAUUUGGCAAAAAUACUCUAGUUGUUACUAAUAAGAAGCAAAAAGAAUGAUAAGUAACUCUGAUAAAUGAAGGAGAAUUAUAAUUAGGUAAAAGCUAAUGGGGAGGUGAAAAGGCACUCACUGAACAUGUUUAUUCAUUUAUUUUGUUAUCAGUUCUUAGGAAUUUCUUCUGCAGACAACAUGGUAACACCCAUCCUGAAUUUCUCUAAGCAAAGAAGAGUCCUCCUGGUAGAUAAGUUUGUUUCAAUGCUUCAGUAACAUUUGUGGGUGGCUUCCAAAUUAGUACCACUUCACCAAAUAGGAACUAGGCCACUAGAUGUGUUCUGUGUGUACUAAAUGUGAAGAAGGUUAUCAGUGGGAUUUGGCUUUUGUAACGGGGAGAAUUGAAAACCCUGGAGAAAUAACACAGAAUUCUUGCAGAUAUUUUCAAGAUAGGGCAGUGUCUCCAGUGGUCUGGGGAGGGUGAUGCUAAGAACCUACUUUGGGAGCAGGGUCAAAAAGGCUUGAUGAACAAAGCUGAGGGGAUAGAUGUGUAAGUAGAAAGCAGAUGUGGAAACAUUAUAAAGCAGACCCCAGAUGGUGAAAUGCAUCCCUGUAAACCACAUCUGGGCUGGAGCAUCUUAGAGAUGCUCCAGGAGUGUGCUGGAGGUGUGUACAGCACGUUUUCUAUUAAAUGACUGUAUUACAUUUGUUGGAGACAAAGACAGGACUUUGGAAGUAACUUUGUUACUAAGUAACAUUGGAAGAAAGUUACCAGAGGAGCAUUUCCCAGCUCUGCACAGAAGUAUAAGAAAGUUAAAUAACCCAGAAGCAUUACCUCAUUCAUUACUCAGAGUUCUCACUCGAGUGCAGAAUACUGGGGGAACCACUCGGAAGAGUACACUCAUUGAGCAAGGGUAACACGACAGGGUUCCCAAGACCACACGAUGCUGACAAGAAUCAACGCUCAACGUAGUAUAAAUCAGCACAUCGUUCUCAAUAUGCUUCCGAGUAAUCUCCACAUCUCAUGAUUAAAUUAGCUUAGCAAUACCAGAUAUCUCAUACUCUGUGUGGCAGCAUGAUAUUUGAAACUGCAUUUUAAACCUAAUCUUUGUAAGCACUCUAUAAACUACUAUCAUUCCUAAUAAUUUUUUUUGUUUUGAAAUUCUUUUAGGCUUAUUGAAGUUAUGAAUUGAUUCCUGAUUACCCUACAACCCACUCCCCUAUUAUUAACAGCUUAUAUGAGAGUAACAUUUAUUAUUACUUAUGAAGUGUUGUUGACACACAAUUCUCAAGUCUGUAUUUUAUACAUAUUUCUUUAGUUUUCACUUAAUGCCCCUUUCCAACCUAUCUUGCCUACUGUCCUAUGUUCUCUUGUCAUUGUCAUGUCUUCUGAGGUUUCUCUUGGUUGAGGUAGUUUCUCCAUCUUUGUUUUUGAAGACCUUGAACGUUCUGAGAAGCCAGUUGCGGUGUUUUUCAGACUGCUCUGUAGUUGGGUUUUCUUGUGACUGUGUUGUGUGGUCUUGAAGGCCCCAGAGACAUCUACCAUUCUAUCUUGUGUCCAGGUGCUCUAUUAAUAUAUUAAUUAACCUUGAACACAUAACUGAGACAGUUCUUGUCAGGAUCCCCUACUGAAAAAAUUGUCCCUGAACCACACACUACGGUUUCUGGAAGGAAGCCCUCGUGCACAGCCCAUUAAAAGGAGAGGUUCUGCUCCAUCCCAUAGAGGGCCCCCAUUUUUAUAUAUGUACGUGAAAGCCAUCUCUAUUCUACAUUUAAAAAGUAUUCAAUAUGAUCUUCAUAUCAGUAUGCACUCAGAAAAUAUUUGUCUCUUACUUUUGGUUAUUCUGAAAAUGCUAAUCCAUUCAGGCCACUCUUGGGAUAUCUCUGAAUUCCAGAGGCUACAGAAGCCCAAAAGUUAGAUACCACCAGCGUCUGUGUCUGCUGAAGGCUGCUUCCUGGUUGUAGACUGGCAUCUUCUUACCGUUUUCUAACAUGGCCAAAGAUUUGAACAGGACACUUUAGGAGGGCAUUAAUCCUAUUCAUAGGGGCUCCACCUUCAGGACCUAUGCACAUCUCAGAGUCCCACCUUCAAAUCCUGUCACCUGUGGGAGGAGAGUCCAGCAUUUGGGUUUGUGGUGGCAACACACAGAAUUCCGAUGUGUGGCCUCUAAUACUGUAUUACGUUUACUACCAAUGUGACCAUUGCUGAUCAAAUGCCUCAGCUUUGAGCAACUGCAUCUCUCCCAGUCACCCCCAUGUCCCUCUGACAGAACCCCAUUUUGGGGGGUUGUUUUCUUGUUUUCCAAGAAGUGGCUUAUUUUGUUAACCAUAUUUCUAAGGAAUUCUAUGUUUUGUUUUUUUUUUAAAUAAGAAGUAAAAAUCUGGAUGCUGGGUAGGAUGGAAACUGUUGGGUUUUUUUUUUUUCAGUUUUAUUCAAAGGAGAUGAUUAAUAAAUCUGCCCACCGAUCAUGCUCUAGAGAAUUACAGAAACUCAAGCCUGCCUCUUCAUCUAACUGUAGCAUGGUUUCUUACCUUUCCCCUCUGGGGGCAUCAGACUUCUGCUCACAGUUACUUUUAAGUGCUGGAGUGUUUCCUGGCCUGAUGGCAGGUAUUGUAUCUCAGGGUCCCUUGUUUUGUGUCCCUGUGAUCAGAUUUUGCAAGGUUUUAUGCGAAACAGUGGCUCUUUCGCUCGCGGCGCUGAUCUAGGUUGAUAUCCUGGAGGUAGUGAGGAGGUCUGAAAGUGAUUUUUCUGUAUUUUGAAAAACCUAAUGAAAGUCAUGUGUUUACCGCUGACCCAGUCGCCCGGGCUAAGGAGAAUGCCAUGAUUCUCUAGCAACUCACUGUGCCUGGUUCCACGGGUUAUUCCAAGGCGGUAGAAACUGCGAUUGGCUGAUGAUGAGUUCAUGAUUGCCAAAGUUGGGAAUGACAAUAACGUGUCUUUGGGGUAACAGUGUUAGGAAAGGCCACAUUCAUUACUAUUCUACUUGUGAUCCAACUCCACUUGAAGUGGGGCCAUUGUGUGUCUGUGUAUAUGGCAGGGAAAGAGUAACUUUUUGGAUAUAAAGUAGACAUCUAUAUAUUUGGUUAAUGUUUUACCAAUUUACUGUAAUGUUUUAAUGUUCAGAAUUCUGAUCCAGAUCACUUUUAAUUUCUGCUUUAUUUUAGAUGCCUGUUUAAAAUACUGGAAGUAUACACAUUGGACUGAUUUUUUUUCUGUAUUCCAUUUUCUUAUGGAAAAAAUCUAUAUCUCAGUGUAGAUAAGCAUAUGGAUCUAUUUAAUAUGUUCAAAAGCCGUGCAUGAGAGUGACUCACAGCUUAAAUUUGUGGUGCUUAGCUAAAUUGCUUGUUGGGUGGACUCAGAAAGGUAGGAGAGAGGGAGGGAUCAACAAC